rnacentral:lncRNA from 1 species
UCUCUUCACCCGAGUGUCCAGAACAUGCGGCCGCAAAUCCGAUGACACAACCACAAAGUCGAUCAUCGAUCUGCGGCCUAAGGCAUCCUGGUGCCAAGUGCACAUGUGGACGCCUUUAUGUCUGAACAAGGUGUUCGUUAUGGACAAUCUGAGACGAGCACAGAAGUCCAAUAACAAAACACCACUCGGGUUCAGAUCAGGGGGGCCGUUCUUCCCAAUCACACUCUCCAGGUCACACUGUCAUUGCCAACGUGAGCAUUGAAGUCACCCAGGAGGACGAGGGAGCCCCCAGAAGGGGCACUCUCCAGCACUCCCUCUAAGGACUCCAAAAAGGGUGGAUACGCUGAACUGCUGUUUGGACCAUAGGCACAAACAACAGUCAGGAUCCGUCCCCCCACCCGAAGGCGAAAGGAGGCUACCCUCUCAUCCACCGGGGUAAACUCCAAUACACAGGCACUGAGCUGGGGAGCAACCAGAAUUGCCACCCCUGCUCGUCGCCUCUCACCAUCGGCAACUCCAGAGUGGUAGAGAGUCCAACCCCUCUCAAGAAGACUGGUUCCAGAGCCCUUGCCGUGCGUCGAGAGAGGUGACAUUCCAUGUCCCUAGAGCCAGUUUGUGCAGCCGGGAAUCAGACCGCCAAGGUCCCUGCCUCCGGCUGCUACCCAAAACACAAUGCACCCGACCCCCUUGGCCCCUCCUGCAGGUGGUGAGCCCACGGGAAGGGGGUCCCAUGUUGCCUCUUCGGGCUGCGCCCGGCCGGACUCCGUGGGCAGAGGUCCGGCCACCAGGCGCUCGCCAACGUGCCCCACCCCCAGGCCUGGCUCCAGGAGGGGGCCCCGGUGACCCGCAUCUGGGCAAGGGAAACUUGGCACCAAAGUUGUUCAGCAUCAUUAGGGGUCCUGGGCUACGCUUUGUCUGGUCCCUCACCUAGGACCUGUUUGCCAUGGGUGGCCCUACCAGGGGCAUAUAGCCCCAGACAACGGAGCUCCUAGGAUCAUUGGGACACGCAAACCCCUCCACCACGAUAAGGUGGCAGCCCAGGGAGGGGUUAUUAUUAUUUUGUUUAUUUAAUUUCACCUUAAUAAAAAGAAGAAUUAAAUCAAAAG